rnacentral:rRNA from 1 species
UACGUAGGGUCCGAGCGUUGUCCGGAAUUCUGGGCGUAAAGAGCUCGUAGGUGGUUUGUCGCGUUGUUCGUGAAAACUCACAGCUUAACUGUGGGCGUGCGGGGCGAUACGGGGCAGACUUGAGUACUGCAGGGGAGACUGGAAUUCCUGGUGUAGCGGUGGAAUGCGCAGAUAUCAGGAGGAACACCGGUGGCGAAGGCGGAUCUCUGGGCCAUAACUGACGUGAGGAGCGAAAAGCAUGGGGGAGCGAACAGG